rnacentral:rRNA from 1 species
UCGAGAGGCUUCGGCAAUGGGGGAAACCCUGACCGAGCGACGCCGCGUGGGGGAUGAAGGCCCUUGGGUUGUAAACCCCUUUUAUUCGGGAAGAAAUGCGAUCAGGUGAACAAUCUGGUCGUUUGACGGUACCGGAUGAAUAAGCUCCGGCUAACUCCGUGCCAGCAGCCGCGGUAAUACGUAGGGACCAAGCGUUGUUCGGAUUUACUGGGCGUAAAGGGCGCGUAGGCGGCAUGACAAGUCACUUGUGAAAUCUCUCGGCUUAACCCAGAACGGCCAAGUGAUACUGUCGCGCUAGAGUGCAGAAGGGGCAAUCGGAAUUCUUGGUGUAGCGGUGAAAUGCGUAGAUAUCAAGAGGAACACCUGAGGUGAAGACGGGUUGCUGGGCUGACACUGACGCUGAGGCACGAAAGCCAGGGGAGCAAACGGGAUUAGAUACCCUAUGUAGUCCCUGAGCGGGCUGGCAAGGCGCAU